GAUGAACGCUGGCGGCGUGCCUAAUACAUGCAAGUCGAGCGAACAGACGAGGAGCUUGCUCCUUUGACGUUAGCGGCGGACGGGUGAGUAACACGUGGAUAACCUACCUAUAAGACUGGGAUAACUUCGGGAAACCGGAGCUAAUACCGGAUAACAUGUUGAACCGCAUGGUUCAACAGUGAAAGACGGUCUUGCUGUCACUUAUAGAUGGAUCCGCGCCGCAUUAGCUAGUUGGUAAGGUAACGGCUUACCAAGGCAACGAUGCGUAGCCGACCUGAGAGGGUGAUCGGCCACACUGGAUCUGAGACACGGUCCAGACUCCUACGGGAGGCAGCAGUAGGGAAUCUUCCGCAAUGGGCGAAAGCCUGACGGAGCAACGCCGCGUGAGUGAAGAAGGUCUUCGGAUCGUAAAACUCUGUUAUUAGGGAAGAACAAAUGUGUAAGUAACUAUGCACGUCUUGACGGUACCUAAUCAGAAAGCCACGGCUAACUACGUG
rnacentral:rRNA from 1 species